rnacentral:rRNA from 1 species
GACGAACGCUGGCGGCGUGCUUAACACAUGCAAGUCGAACGGAAAGGCCCUGCUUUUGUGGGGUGCUCGAGUGGCGAACGGGUGAGUAACACGUGAGUAACCUGCCCUUGACUUUGGGAUAACUUCAGGAAACUGGGGCUAAUACCGGAUAGGAGCUCCUGCUGCAUGGUGGGGGUUGGAAAGUUUCGGCGGUUGGGGAUGGACUCGCGGCUUAUCAGCUUGUUGGUGGGGUAGUGGCUUACCAAGGCUUUGACGGGUAGCCGGCCUGAGAGGGUGACCGGCCACAUUGGGACUGAAAUGCGGCCCAGACUCCUACGGGAGGCAGCAGUGGGGAAUAUUGCACAAUGGGCGGAAGCCUGAUGCAGCGACGCCGCGUGCGGGAUGACGGCCUUCGGGUUGUAAACCGCUUUCGCCUGUGACGAAGCGUGAGUGACGGUAAUGGGUAAAGAAGCACCGGCUAACUACGUG